rnacentral:tRNA from 1 species
AAUCCGUUGACCUUACAAGGUCGUGDGSGUUCAAGUCCCUCUACCCCCA